rnacentral:rRNA from 1 species
AUGCACGCUGGCGGCGUGCCUAAUCCAUGCAAGUCAAGCGAACAGACGAGGAGCUUGCUCCUCUGACGUUAGCGGCGGACGGGUGAGUAACACGUGGAUAACCUACCUAUAAGACUGGGAUAACUUCGGGAAACCGGAGCUAAUACCGGAUAACAUGUUGAACCGCAUGGUUCAACAGUGAAAGACGGUCUUGCUGUCACUUAUAGAUGGAUCCGCGCCGCAUUAGCUAGUUGGUAAGGUAACGGCUUACCAAGGCAACGAUGCGUAGCCGACCUGAGAGGGUGAUCGGCCACACUGGAACUGAGACACGGUCCAGACUCCUACGGGAGGCAGCAGUAGGGAAUCUUCGGCAAUGGGCGAAAGCCUGACGGAGCAACGCCGCGUGAGGGAAGAAGGUCUUCGGAUCGUAAAACUCUGUUAUUAGGGAAGAACAAAUGUGUAAGUAACUAUGCACGUCUUGACGGUACCUAAUCAGAAAGCCACGGCUAACUACGUG